rnacentral:lncRNA from 1 species
GUUUUCUCCUGAGACAAAUGGAAAACUAGAAUACUGUUGCCAUGGGAAAGCACAGUGAAUGCCAAGAAACCUAAAUGGCAAAAGUCUACUACAUGUGGGGAGGGGGCAGUGUUUUUAAAUUAAUAAGUAAAAUAAUUGUUCAGAUAGUUUCUUUUAACCUUGAAGCAUCUUAGAGCCUCCAAGAGUUUAUCAAAAGGACAUUCAUGGCAGCCAAUGGAGAUCAAAUGGAUAGUCUCCUGACUCAGUCAUUCAGUUUACUAUCCAGGAACCAGAGAGGUCCCCCAGGUAACGUUGAAAGGUGAGAUACAAGCAGAGUUCUUUAGACUUGGAACAUCCAUCAGACAUUCUCGCUUCCUGCCGCCACAAACGCACUGCAGUGCUCAUAGAAAAGUGAAUUCUCAUCAGUUUCUAGGCAAGGUGGGAUGCCUGCCACAGCAUGGCUUGCUAAGUGGUGCAUAGGUCUGCAUCUGGGAUCUGAACCAGUGAACCC